CAACCACUUGAAAUCUACUAUUUUUUUCAACUUGGAAUAUUUGGUCCUGUUCAUGUUGUGUCUAUCUUCUUGUGUCUUGAGAUAGCCCACAUAUUUUACUGAAAUUAUUAUAUUUUUUUUCUUUGAAAAACGAUCAGUAAUUUUGUCACGACAAUUCACAUUUUCGGAGGUCAAAAAAAUUCAUAGAGACAUUUGAGUCUCUUUCUCUUGUCCACUGUCGUAUGAUUCACACACACCUAAAAUCGAAUUCACGAUGUGCCAUGUAAAAUAGAGCUUGGCAUUCAUUCCUAGUCACUGGGUUAUUCCAUAAUAGUUAAUUUAUUAAGGUAUCUUAUUUUGGUGAAAAGAGAAUUUAUUAAGGUAGGGGAGGAGAGGGAGGGAAUAAUGCAUAUAAUAAUAUAGAUUAGCAUGAAUCAUAAUACAUUAUGAAUUAUGAUCGUGUGGGCACACGCGCGCGUGUGGGAGCCGAGCCCAUAUUCCAAUCCAAUGUCAAAAAGGGGAACGAGGAAAUCUAUAGAGAGGAAUUGCGCGGGACCCACAAAUCUAAGAGGUGAGCUGUUGCUUUGACACCUAUCGCUUUUCCUCCUUUCCCCCACAAUCACUCACUUUCUCCAGAGAGAGAGAGAGAGAGAGAGAGGAGAGCGAUGGACUGUUGGCUUGAGAAAAAUAAUUUUUAGUUGAUUAUUUAUUAACUUAUUUUAUACAAAUCAAGUGUUUUGUUUUUUAUUUUUUAUUUUACAACAAAAAAGUGUUUCAUUUUUUGCUUGUAAAUAGUAUGGAACUGUGGAGGUAUGCGACAACGUGACAUUAGUUAUCUUUCCAUUCAAUUAUGGCUUUGGAGAUGAGUAAAAAGUGCAAUCACACAAAGAUUUAAAUUUGAAGAAGUCCUAAAAAAAUUUAUCAUCUAGUAUUUAUAUUUAAUAAUGUUCUGUAACAAAAAAAAUUAUUUUUUGUUAGCACUUUAAAAUUUCAUUGAGCAUUUCUCAUAAUUGUAAAUUUUCUAUUUCUAAAUAUAAAUCUGAAGUGCAAUGGGAAAUAUUUGAAGUUUCAAUGACAGCAUCCUAAACAUGAUUUUCAUUAAUUUUAUUAUAGAUAAUAUUGCUAUAUAUUUAAGUGAAACUGUAAAGCAAGAGUUUUUUAAGCUUUUAUGAUUUUCAUAGUUUGGUUGUUUAAGAUUGAAGUGAUUUUGAUUAUUUAGUAAAUGUUAUGUUUGUGGCUAUUUUUACUUAAUAUUUAAUGAUAUUUGCAAAUUUAUAAUCAGUGAGUCAUUAAAUUUGUUUUGAUUUAAUUUCUUGCUUUUUAUCAUCAAUAUAUUGUUCUACUUUAAAAAAAAUCAUCUUUAUAAAUUUAGCACAUGACUCUCAAAAUCUCAUAAAAGACCUUGGUCUUCUUUUAUUAUUCUUUUAUCCUCGUGAUUUGCCCUCUAUGGAUUUUUUAUUCUUUUAUCCUCAUUAUUUUUAUGAGUAAUCCUAGGUAGAUCAAGUUUUUAAAAUCAAAUUUGCAUACUAAAUGAUUUGAUUGUAGAUAAUUGGAUUAUUAAUUAAGUGUCGAUUAACGUAUGUGUUUCUUAUUGGUAACACGUCAUUUGGUUUAAAAAAUUUGAUCUCGCUAGCAUUACUUUAUUUUUGUUAUUCUCAACAGAAUUUCAAGAUAUUCUGCUUUGAAAUUUUUGGAGUCAUUUAUCUAUAAAGUAUAUGUUGUAUAUAACCACUGAAUGUGAGAUGAAGAAUCAUAGGAAAUCAAGCGAGUGUACAUGAGUCACUUAAAAGACAAUACAUACUGUAGGAAGAUACACAAAAGACGGACUCGUUAUGCUUUCCAGCGAAUUAUAGCAAGUUUCUUUCAAUUUUGAUUCCGCUGCUUUCCGGAUUCUAACCCUCUCUUUCUAACCUAAUUUUGAAAAAAAAUAACUGCUCUAAUAUUAUCAUAAAAGAGGCAGGACCCACGAAUUUGUUGGGGUGUGAUCUACCUGCAAGACACCUUUGGAUCUUAAAAUUUUGCAACUCUGGCCAUACAAUUAGGUCGUUAAUUCGGCCGACUCAAAGGGACCCUACUGAAAUCGUAUCCAUCGUCCUCCAUAUUCUGGAGAAAAAUAUCGAUUUCUGUUUAUAUAUAAUGCAGUUGAUAAGUAACAUGAACAUGAGUCGGUGGUGCUUCUGUUGUACAAUUUUUUUAAAACUUUUCGUACUCAUGAUUUGACUGUUAGAUAGGUGGGUGGUACUUAGGUUUUCAGAUUGAUGGCAACUAGUAUACAGGUGCUUUGCUUCAAAUUCUACACCAUAAUUCAAUACAAUCAUAGUGUUAGGUUUCGAAAUUCUUUUUAUUAGUUUCGCUUUCCAGUAAGAGGGUCGUUUUCUUUGAUAAAUCACUACUUAGUUUGAGUCCUAAUGCUUACAAUAUUUUUUGGUGAAAAAUCUGUAAAAAUAAAAUUAAAAAGUACCAUUUUUCUAAGUCUUCAAAGAGACUUGUGGUAU
rnacentral:lncRNA from 1 species